AUACUGGGCUGACAGUAGAGCGUGCCCCAGCCUUCCUUGUUCCUGGAUUCUGGCUGAGCGUGUCUGCAAGGCGCUGUGGGGCAGCUACCAGCUGUACUCAGUGCUAGUCCCCACAUCAUUGCCAGCAUUUCCCCAGCCCUGCUGGUUCAGUGAACGGCUGUGGCCUCUCCUUGAAGCAUGUGACACCCAGUGGCACUAGUGAGGGGACUUCACCUUCAGUUCCUCCCAACCCACUGCAGUGUGAAGAACACGGCUAUGGAGGAGAGCUGGAUGGCAAUGGAGACAAUGUGUGAUAAGCAGCCAUCCCCAUUUCAUCAGGAAAGUUUUACCUGAAGGAAAAGUGCUAAAACGCCUGCCCUAAGGCGGUGAAUGACUUCAUCACCCCAGAAAAGUGAUGAGCUCUAGUUCAUCACUUGAAAAUGCCUCAUUCUUAGAUCUCCCACACUUGACUUUACAUUUAGUGGCUGAUAUUUGACCAAGUCAUUUUUUAAUUUAAUUAGCUUAUGUGAAAAUUUAUCCUUCUUCCUUUUUACAGCCAAGAUCUCACUCGUGAUGAGCAAAUUAAAAUUUAGCUUCUGAC